AUUGAACGCUGGCGGCAGGCUUCACACAUGCAAGUCGAACGAGUGGCGGACGGGUGAGUAAUGCUUGGGAAUCUAGCUUAUGGAGGGGGAUAACUACGGGAAACUGUAGCUAAUAACGCGUACCAUAGGAUGAGCCCAUUUGGGAGUAGGUAGUUGGUGUGGUAAAGGCUCACCAAGCCGACGAUCUCUAUCUGGGCUGAGAGGUUGACGAGCCACACUGGGACGUAGACACGGCCCAGACUCCUACGGGAGGCAGAAGUGGGGAAUAUUGCGCAAUGGGGGCAACUGGACGCAGCCAUGCCGCGUGAAUGAAGAAGGCCUUCGGGUUGUAAAGUUCUUUCGGUAGCGAGGCGUUGACUACAGAAGAAGCACCGGCUAACUCCGUGCCAGCCGCCGCGGUAAUAC
rnacentral:rRNA from 1 species